CACCUGGGAACAGCCGCUCCAGCCACCGCAGCAGCCACGCCAGAAAUAAACCUUCUCAGCCAUGCAGGCAAGAGGAAUCAUAGCUCUAACAGAAAGAAGCAAGGAAAGAAAGGACUGCAGCAGCAAGAGACACUACAAAUAACCACUGUAGGAAAAAGUGACACCAUCUAUAUAUCCUCAUGGUGAAUAGAAAGUAAUUAAAGAAAAAGCCAUUCUGGAGGAGAACAUGGCCACCAUACAGUGAUUUGAUUAGAAAGUAACUCCAUUUAUCAAGCUGUACUGGAAGUUUUGAUUAUUCUGAAAGGAAUUCACAGAAGGAUCUGAGGAAAUAAAAAUAUUAAAAGGAGGAAAAUAUUAAGAAAAUCUGACAAUAAAGAGUAAUUUGAAGGGAGUUUAUCAAACUAACAUGAUCUAGAAAUCUAUGGAAUCUUAAUGUGUUAGCAAAAACACAUCAAGUAUACUUCUAAAAUUAUAAUAAUUUAAUAA